rnacentral:rRNA from 1 species
AUUGAACGCUGGCGGCAGGCCUAACACAUGCAAGUCGAACGAGUGGCGGACGGGUGAGUAAUGUCUGGGAAACUGCCCGAUGGAGGGGGAUAACUACUGGAAACGGUAGCUAAUACCGCAUACCAUCGGAUGUGCCCAGAUGGGAUUAGCUCGGAGGGGGGGUAACAGCUCACCUAGGCGACGAUCCCUAGCGGGUCUGAGAGGAGGACCAGCCACACGGUAACUGAGACACGGUCCAGACUGCUACGGUAGGCAGCAGUGGGGAAUAUUGCACAAUGGGCGCAAGCCUGAUGCAGCCAUGCCGCGUGUAUUGAGAAGGCCUUCGGGUUGGAAAGUACUUUCAGCGAGGAGGCGUUACUCGCAGAAGAAGCACCGGCUAACUCCGUGCCAGCAGCCGCGGUAAUAC